rfam:Boseongicola aestuarii strain CECT 8489 genome assembly, contig: 0005
GCACUGUCACAACGGCUUCCUGACGUGACAGGCUGAAUCUCAUAACGGAGCA